UACGAAGGGGGCUAGCGUUGCUCGGAAUUACUGGGCGUAAAGGGCGCGUAGGCGGAUAGUUUAGUCAGAGGUGAAAGCCCAGGGCUCAACCCUGGAAUUGCCUUUGAUACUGGCUAUCUUGAGUUCGGGAGAGGUGAGUGGAACUCCGAGUGUAGAGGUGAAAUUCGUAGAUAUUCGGAAGAACACCAGUGGCGAAGGCGACUCACUGGCCCGAUACUGACGCUGAGACGCGAAAGCGUGGGGAGCGAACAGA
rnacentral:rRNA from 1 species